rnacentral:lncRNA from 1 species
AUGAGACCAGACCAUCAGAAUGAAAUUGAAAUUGGAAAUUCCAAACCCAUAAAUACAGCACCAAAAGGCCAGCAGUGGUGGUUAGUGAGUAAAACAAAAUCAAAGCUCACAUGCAUGAAAAUCAGCUGUCAGAAUGAAAAGACAGCUGCAUCUACCCACAGAAAGGACUGCCAGAACCACAGACAUUUCUGCAAGGCAGCUAAACCCCACGUUCCGCGGCUGAAAUCAUGGCUUUCUCUGGCUAAAUAUUCCAUGGUAGCCAACAUGGAGCCAACUGAUAUAGUUAGCACUGGAUAUGGGCUAAAACUGGAAACCAUUAACCAGGGAAGAAGUCUUUACUGCCAAAGUUCUCCAGAAUAGUUUACAUCUUGGUCCAUGAAAUAAACCAAUAAAAAAAAAAUGAUAAAAUACUCUUUUUAUACUGUUUGGGGAGCCAACAACUAUUAUACAUCCUAAUAAGUACCUGAAGACAGUAUUUUACUUUAUGUGGAGUAAAUCUUUAUUUUUUAAAAUUUUUACUGGCGUAUAGUUCAUUUACAAUGUUAGUUUCACAGCAAAGUGAAUCAGUGACACAUAUAUUUACUCUUUUUUAGAUUCUUUUCCCAUAUGGCCAUUACAGAAUAUUGAGUUGAGUUCCCUGUGUGAUACGGAGGUCCUUAUUAGUUAUCUAUUUUAAACUGAGGUACNNNNNNNNNNNNNNNNNNNNNNNNNNNNNNNNNNNNNNNNNNNNNNNNNNNGCGUUAGUGGUAAAGAACCUGCCUGCCAAUGCAGGAGACGUAAGAGAUGCGGGGAAGAUCCCCUGGAGGAAGGCAUGGCAAACCACUUUAGUAUUCUUGCCUGGAGAAUCCCAUAGACCUAGGAGCCUGGUGGGCUACAGUUCUAGCCCCCAGGGGUUCACAAAGAGUUGGACAUGACUGAGCGAAUAACAUUUUCAUCUUAUUGGGACUGAAGUGACUGAGAACAUACGCACGUAGUAGCGGGUAGCUGUCAAUUACAUGGAAUGAUUCUGCUCAUACUUCCUUCUGCAUGUUUCCGGUUGCAGCUAUCUGAUCUCAGAAUAUUCCCCUGACGGUAAGGAUUGUAUGUAUGUUCUCAGUCUUGUAUUUCCCUCACAAGGGUGGGGCUCUGAGCCCACUAGAGACAUGAGGUAGAAUGUCUCACUCAACUCAAUCCCCAGGGUAUUUGUAGAUUUAAAACGAGGUUAUACAUUCAGUUCAGUGCCCUACAAGCACAAGGCACUAGACACUAGAAGUAGCACCAAGUCAGGAAAUAAAAGACAUCUCAGCAUUAGUUUCAGCUUUACUAAGAAUCAACUGUGAGCUCUGGGGGAAAUCAACUCUUUUUCCGUGUCGGGUCAAAAGCCCACGGCAUUCAAAUUUAUGACUGGAAUAUUCUCCAGUAUUUAUCAGCCAGGGGUCACAGUACCUGUAGGCAAGACUCAGUUCUCUGCCUCCGUCUGCUGGGGAAACGCCCUGGUUUCAUAAACUACUCAGCAGGCCUGCUGGGCUGGAAGCAAGGGGCACUGGGAGCAGUUUCAUGUACUUCCUGCCCCUCGCUGUUUAUCUCCUCUUACCCCUGCUUCUUCCCUCUCCCUUUAAGCUCUAUCUCAUAACUUCCAUUCACGUUGGAUCUUAUCCUCCUGCACACCACUUUCCAAAGACAAUGGUAAGCCUAAGAAAAUGUAACAAAGCACUGAAGAAAAAAGAAAGCCUUUGUCGUCUGGGCUGGCUGAUUACAAGAUGCUGGUUUGAAGAGGCUGAGUGUAUUAUUUUCCAUUGUUUGGUAGUGCACCUGAGCAUUUCAGGCAAGUAUGGUCUCCUAAGAAACAUGAGCGUAUCCUGAUUAUUUUCUGAGAAUUCACCAAUCUAUCCCCAAGCCCUAAUGACCUGACAGGGGAGAUGAUUAUCUGAACACUUACAGCAAACUUUCAGGAGACACUGAAUGCACUGUGAGAGUCUGGCUGUUGCUAGAGCCCUUCCAUUAAAGUAUUACUUUCUAAAAUAAACUUUCCAAUUCUUUGUCCAGGCUACUUUUUAAUGCUCCAAGUCCUUUAACACAGCUCCCUGGCUAUCCCAUGUGGCCUACCAGAACUCUGAGCUAGCUACUAUUUUAAAGAUUAAAUGAAAAUUCUUGUCUUCCUAUCUUAAUCAUCUAUCAACCUUUUACAUUAUUUUUGUGUGUAACAGAUUUCAUUUCAUGAAAACUGUAUCUAAAGUUAAAGAUGGGAAGAAAAUCUUGCAGUUUUUAAGAAAUAUUUUUCAAAAAAAGAAGGUAUAGAUCUUUAUCCUAUGGAAAGACAGUAAAAGUAGCAAUAAUCAUAGAACUGUUAUAAUGAAAAUGGAAAAGAAUCACUCUAACAAACUACUUUCUUCACAGUCCAACUCUCACAUCCACACAUGACUACUGGAAAAAC